CCAUUACAGACUGCCCAAAAACAGUUUAUCAUGAUCGGUCAACCAUGUUUGACCAUCUAUAACUUCUAAUCUAUACAUGAUAUGGACUUGAUUCUUUUUGCAGAUUAAAGACCACAUAUCAGGCUACACAUAACAACUUUUGAAGAACUGAUGAAUGAUUAACUGAUGAAUAUCUUUGGCCCGUAGUGCAAAGAUGAACAGGUGCUGAGAUGAACAUGACCGACUGGUGAUACAAAUGAAUAUCUUUGGCCUGUAAUGCAAAGAUGAAUAUUGAUUAAAGAUGUAUAUAGAUUGAUGUUACAAGGAUAAAAUAUUGAUGAUGAACUUUUAAAUCUUAGAAGAUAGUAGAAUUCAUUCUCUGCGUGGCUCUUCUAAUGGAUUGUUGUUUCCGCUGCAUUUGUUGAUCUAAAACUUGUUGUCUAUUAUAUUCUAUCAGAUUUUUUCCUGUUGAAGACUAAUAAUAAUUUGUUGUAUAUUAUCUUAGUCAUAAUAUUCUUUACUGGGCUAGUUGAGCUCACUCUUUUCCUUUUUGUUCCAUUUUUCUUCUCAGGAGGUGAGAACAUAACAAGAUCUAGUCGGGGUAUGGAGUGAUGGUUCUAUAAAUAUGUUUUAGCAGUCUUCACUAUUUCUGUAAAAUAGUGUAUGAAUAAUUGUAAUGAGGACUUAUUUGGGUGUGGAUAUUGUCUAGAAGACAAUAUUUAUAUUUAAACUCACAGUAUGUGCUGUCGUAUUUUGCACGACAAUUGUAUUAUUGAAGUUGUAGUUUGCUUUCUGUACCAUGUAUUUGGCUACUCGGAAUGGGUGUUGUAUACCUAUUUUGGGGGCAUCACAAUAGGCAUGAUAUUAAUAUGCAAGCUACAAGAAAUAAGGACAUACCACCAAGAUUUAUGUGCCCAUUUUGUCUAAUCUAGCCCUCCAUUUAAUGUUUUCUAGUGUGAGGUAGUAGUUGCAAACACCACUUUGCCUUCAUUAGAUUAUCUUAGGAUUUCUAAUUCCACCUUCUAAUACAAUUAAUAAGGUAUCCUACUAAAGUGCAAUAAUACUACUGUAGUACUACUAAUGUUUUGCUGAAAUUGAGAUGAGCACAAAUGUCACAUGGUCAAACUACUUUCGCAAGUGCAUAAAUGUCACAUGGUCCAAGUUUAAUUCGGCCCCUUAAAAAAUAUAUUCCCUCCCUCAUAAAUUAUAUUGAGAUUUUUAUUUUAAAAAAUCUUUUGCAAAAAAGUAAUGAAUUUCCCAAAAAAAUCUCCUAAAUAAAUCCAAAUGUGAAUGGCUUCUGCCUGCCUAAAGACUACUCAUGUAACAACUGCUACCACAGCUCUAACCCCUAUCUCAAACUCAAACUUUUCACUACUUUCAAGAAUUUCUUUUAUGCAAUCUCUGUCUACCAACAAGCAUAUGUUAUAACUAAUGCAUACCAAUGAUCCCGUGGAUGAAGAAACUCGAGAGCAAUGACCAUUAUUUAUAGACAAUAUUGUAUCUUCCGACAUAACAUUUAGUUGACUCGAGCAGUCAGAAUCUAGCAAUGUGCUAGCACGAGUUCUAAUACUCUGCCUAUGAUCAUCAACUGAUGGGCAUAACACAAACUCCGUGGAGAAGUAUUGGGGAUAAAUCUGGAUAGAAGGUUCAUCUCCAGACACAGUCAAGUUCUCAAUUGACAAAUCUAGUUCUUUAAAAAAUGUGUUCAACCAUGACAAAAUUUUCAAGGUAGCAUCCUGGAUGGCAUCAUUCUGCUUCUUAAACGAUUCUUAGAACAACUAAAAGUGCCUCAAAUUAUGUGGAACUCAUCUCCUCUUCUACUCUUUAUGGUUGAUUUAAUUAUGUAAAUUAUACUUGAAUUAUCUUAUAAUUCAUGUAUGCGUACUAUUAUACCAAAAUCACCACUCAAUUCUCAUGUUUAAGCAAAAUAGCCUCAUUUAGGAAUUUUAACAAACACGUGAUAUGCAUGUUUAUAAAGCUCAGAUUUCAAGUAAAUUCAAACAUGUGAACAUCCAAACUCCAUAAAAUCCCUCCUUAUAUCUUCAGAAUCUAUCAAUACGGUCCCACAAUAACAAUUCAUAAUAAUAAGAAACAUUAAUUAUCAAAUUUCUAUAAACUAAGCAAGAGAACAUAUCAUACCUCUUAUUUAGUAUUAUAACCAAAUCUUUACUUUCAAACAUGGAAGCCCUUCAAAGUCAGAAUCAUCCUAGCAAACCCUAACAUAUGCAUCCAAAACAUCAGAUUCUGCCAUCCCAACCAUAGAUUCGCCCAAACCAUUAAGGGGAAUAGUCGAAUCCGAGGGGUUAGAAAACCCAAUAAAUGGCAUACCAACUAGAGGAAUAGAAGAAUAGGGUAACCCCUCCGAGAGGAGAGAGGGGCUCACCAUAUGAACUGAGAUCAGCGAAAAUACUAGAGAGAGCCAUCUUCGUAUGAAAUUUU
rnacentral:lncRNA from 1 species